GACGAACGCUGGCGGCGCGCCUAACACAUGCCAGUCGAACGAGCGAGAGGAGGUUUACUUUCUCAAGCGAGUGGCGAACGGGUGAGUAACGCGUGAGGAACCUGCCUCAAAGAGGGGGACAACAGUUGGAAACGACUGCUAAUACCGCAUAAGCCCACGACCCGGCAUCGGGUAGAGGGAAAAGGAGCAAUCCGCUUUGAGAUGGCCUCGCGUCCGAUUAGCUAGUUGGUGAGGUAAUGGCCCACCAAGGCGACGAUCGGUAGCCGGACUGAGAGGUUGAACGGCCACAUUGGGACUGAGACACGGCCCAGACUCCUACGGGAGGCAGCAGUGGGGAAUAUUGCACAAUGGGGGAAACCCUGAUGCAGCGACGCCGCGUGGAGGAAGAAGGUCUUCGGAUUGUAAACUCCUGUUGUUGAGGAAGAUAAUGACGGUACUCAACAAGGAAGUGACGGCUAACUACGUG
rnacentral:rRNA from 1 species